CCCCCGAUGGUGUAGUUGGAUAUCACGUUCGGCUGUAAACCGAAAGGUCGCCGGCUCGACUCCGGCUCGGGGGA
rnacentral:tRNA from 12 species